rnacentral:rRNA from 1 species
CACGUAGGGGGCAAGCGUUGUCCGGAUUUAUUGGGCGUAAAGAGCUCGUAGGCGGUUCGGUAAGUCGGGUGUGAAACCUCCAGGCUCAACCUGGAGUCGCCACUCGAUACUGCUGUGACUAGAGUCCGGUAGGGGAGCGUGGAAUUCCUAGUGUAGAGGUGAAAUUCGUAGAUAUUAGGAAGAACACCAGUGGCGAAGGCGGCUCACUGGCCCGGUACUGACGCUGAGGCGCGAAAGCGUGGGGAGCAAACAGG